AUGUCGCCUCUGCCACCACCCGGUAUGCGCAAGCGCGCCAUGGAUGCGCAGGAUUCUACAUCAAACAGCAAGAAAUCCUCCUCGCGAGCAUCUUCCAAUGCGCUCAAUUACUUCAAGUCCAGUUUAAUGUCCAUCGCUCAAAUGUACGCAGACCUUCCAGUCAACACUUCAUUUACUGUCUUUGGACAGUGCUGCACCAAUCUACACAAGUGGAAAUACAUAUUCCAGCAUGGAUAUGCAACCGAUCCAUGGGUGAAUGGUGUUGUGCCACAUCCGCCACACAUGCCAACAACUGACCUUAUUGCUGCCCAAUUCACACAGCUGCCAAUGCAAGACCUACAGAGUCCAAGGCUGAUCCGCGUUACCCGGAUGGCGUUGCGCGAGCAGCUUGUCGGGAUGCAGCACCUUCACCACGAGCUUCUUUCCAUAAUUAUGCGGCGGUAUUCCCAGUUCGACCAGGAAGCGAAUUCAAAGUGUCAAUACAUGAACUGGAGGCACAAUAUGGAACCUGAAUUUGCGACCAUUGUCCUUGCGGACCAUGAAUAUUUGACGAACAUCUCGAUCCAGAAGCAGCUGGUUGGCAACGAGAUCCCAUAUGACAUAACCUCUUGCCAGAUGUUCUUCUUGCCAGUACCAUCAGAGGGUGGAUGGAUAAUACUGAUGUGGGACAUGAUGUCAAGGAAGCUCCAUGUGCUUGACCCUCUCACCAGAGGAGGAGGUCCGAGCGACACAAAAAAAGACAAGCAUGAACUGAUAGCUUGGAAGCUUCAUCACGCUCUCUUCCAGUGCCUGAAUGAGUACUAUGCUGGCUGGCCCACGCAAGACGGCCAAUGGGCGACCAAAUACCCCGUUGUAGCUGAGGAAAAUUUCGAUACACAAGAAACCGGCGCGUGCGUGCUCCACAUCGCUCGUCACUACGACGGCCAGAAGCUGAAGAUCCCUCUAACAAAGCACAUUUUUUCAGGUAAGCGAGGACAACUUGUUGGGAGUUAG
rnacentral:rRNA from 1 species